UACGAAGGGGGCUAGCGUUGUUCGGAAUCACUGGGCGUAAAGCGCACGUAGGCGGAUUUGUAAGUCAGGGGUGAAAUCCCGGGGCUCAACCUCGGAACUGCCUUUGAUACUGCGAAUCUUGAGUCCGAUAGAGGUGGGUGGAAUUCCUAGUGUAGAGGUGAAAUUCGUAGAUAUUCGCAAGAACACCAGUGGCGAAGGCGGCUCACUGGCCCGGUACUGACGCUGAGGCACGAAAGCGUGGGGAGCAAACAGG
rnacentral:rRNA from 1 species